GAUGAACGCUAGCUACAGGCUUAACACAUGCAAGUCGCGGGGCAGCAUGGGGGUUGCUUGCAACUCCCGAUGGCGACCGGCGCACGGGUGAGUAACGCGUAUCCAACCUGCCCUUCACCACGGGAUAACCCGGCGAAAGUCGGACUAAUACCGUAUGUUGUCCAUUGACGGCAUCCGAUUUGGACGAAAGGCUUUGCGGUGAAGGAUGGGGAUGCGUCCGAUUAGCCAGACGGCGGGGUAACGGCCCACCGUGGCUACGAUCGGUAGGGGUUCUGAGAGGAAGGUCCACCACACUGGAACUGAGACACGGUCCAGACUCCUACGGGAGGCAGCAGUGAGGAAUAUUGGUCAAUGGGCGUAAGCCUGAACCAGCCAAGUAGCGUGCAGGAUGACGGCCCUAGGGGUUGUAAACUGCUUUUAUGCGGGGAUAAAGUGGCCCACGUGUGGGCUUUUGCAGGUACCGCAUGAAUAAGGACCGGCUAAUUCCGUG
rnacentral:rRNA from 1 species